UCCCUGGUGGCUCAGACAGUGGAGCAUCUGCCUACAAUGCGGGAGACCCAGGUUCAAACCCUGAGUUGGGAA
rnacentral:tRNA from 1 species